CAACGCGAAGAACCUUACCUGGUCUUGACAUCCUGCGAAGUUUCUAGAGAUAGAUUGGUGCCUUCGGGAACGCAGUGACAGGUGCUGCAUGGCUGUCGUCAGCUCGUGUUGUGAAAUGUUGGGUUAAGUCCCGUAACGAGCGCAACCCUUAUCCUUAUUUGCCAGCACUUCGGGUGGGAACUCUAAGGAGACUGCCGGUGACAAACCGGAGGAAGGUGGGGACGACGUCAAGUCAUCAUGGCCCUUACGACCAGGGCUACACACGUGCUACAAUGGCAAGUACAAAGGGACGCUAAGCCGCGAGGUGGAGCUAAUCCCAGAAAACUUGUCGUAGUCCGGAUUGGAGUCUGCAACUCGACUCCAUGAAGUCGGAAUCGCUAGUAAUCGUGAAUCAGAAUGUCACGGUGAAUACGUUCCCGGGCCUUGUACACACCGCCCGUCACACCAUGGGAGUGGAUUGCACCAGAAGUAGUUAGUCUAACCUUCGGGAGGACGAUUACCACGGUGUGGUUCAUGACUGGGGUGAAGUCGUAACAAGGUAGCCCUAGGGGAA
rnacentral:rRNA from 1 species